ACAGCAGUCGCCGCGGGAAUACAGAGGGUGCAAGCGUUAAUCGGAAUUACUGGGCGUAAAGCGCGCGUAGGUGGUUUGUUAAGUUGGAUGUGAAAUCCCCGGGCUCAACCUGGGAACUGCAUCCAAAACUGGCAGGCUAGAGUAGGGCAGAGGGUGGUGGAAUUUCCUGUGUAGCGGUGAAAUGCGUAGAUAUAGGAAGGAACACCAGUGGCGAAGGCGACCACCUGGGCUCAUACUGACACUGAGGUGCGAAAGCGUGGGGAGCAAACAGGAUUAGAUACCCCGGUAGUCCCUGUCUCUUAUAA
rnacentral:rRNA from 1 species